UUUUGGGUAGGUUGUUUUGAUGGAAUCCCAUGUAAUGGAAAUGAUGGUGUAUAAUGAUGAAUCUCAUUAUUGAAAGGACAUAAACCAUUUGCUUGUGGUUGCAGUUUGGAAAAUGUAAUUUAAGGUCUUACAAGAUUAUGAAUUGCCAGCAUGGUUAUGAUCUUGUAGUGUUCUUGUCCUAAUUCAAAUGUGUGUCAUGGUGACAGUUUGUCAUCAGAUAGCAUAAACCACAAUUAUUAUAUUUUCUUUGCAGUUUGGUGUCUGUAAUGAAAGCAACUGAUCUUAUCCCAAAACUUGCAAGCCACAGAAGAUAGUAUGGUGGAGCUCCUGAUGAUUAUAAAAUGUUGUGAUUCUUCUUUAGAUAUUGGAAUUUCUUAGUUGUUUUUGAGUAGGAUUUAUUUGGGAUCCACCAUUUGGGAAACUAUGGUGGAUCCUUUUUUAAAAAUCUUCAGUUGCCAUUGGGUAAUAUUUCUUGUCCUGAGAAUGCAAGGCCCUAUCAUAACCAUUUGCUGAAGUGGUGAAGUGUUAGGGAGAGCUUGUGGGAUGUUCCAGUUUUGUGUUCCGAUGGGGACAAAAAUUUACCUAUAUAAAAAAAACCUUCUUUCUUUCAGCUCCCUUUGUCUGGAUCUACCCCAUCAGACAUUUCAAACCCGCACAAGGUUGAUAUUGGCAAGAAAAUAUUAAGAGUAUGGAUUGUUGGCCUCUUUUUUUCUUUUUUGGUUCAUUUGCUUCCUGCAUUUGAAUUAGAAUAUCUCUGUCAUCCACAUUAUUAAGCCAGAUUGCUGUCAAUGUCUUUUAUCUUCUCCCCUUGGUGUUUGCAUUAUAAGCGGUGGUUCAAUCUUUGUUUUCUCAACAAAAAUGUCAAUUGGCUGCAUUGAUGUGAUCUGAAUGAUGAUUUCUUAUUUGUUAUAUAUGGGAGUCUCUAUGGGGGUUGAAUUCAUGACCUGGAAGGUUCCUUGUCUAAUGUGGUGUCUGGGUGCUUAAUGUAUUGAAUUGAGUUUGUCUCAAAUGAGCGAAUUUUGCACUUGACAAUGCACCUGGAAGUGUGUUUACUAACGUAGCUGAAAUUUGAAUGUGGGUUGUGAUUGUUCUGGUGUCACCUUUUGCUAGAGUCGCAAUGUAACACAGGAAGUUUGUUCCUUAGUCUCAU
rnacentral:lncRNA from 1 species